rnacentral:rRNA from 1 species
AGAGUUUGAUUCUGGCUCAGAACGAACGCUGGCGGCGUGGAUUAGGCAUGCAAGUCGAACGGGAACCCACGGCUUCAAUUCUUCGGAAGAGAAAUUGUGGGGGAGAGUGGCGAAAGGGUGAGUGUCGCGUGGGCAAUCUGCCUCCGAGUUGGGGAUAACUCCGCGAAAGCGGGGCUAAUACCGAAUACAAUCAGAUCUUCGCAUGGUGAACUGAUUAAAGGUGGGGAUCCUUCGGGACCUGCCGCUUGGAGAGGGGCCCGCGUCCUAUCAGCUUGUUGGUGAGGUAAUGGCUCACCAAGGCUUACGGGUAGCUGGUCUGAGAGGAUGGUCAGCCACACUGGGACUGAGACACUGCCCAGACUCCUACGGGAGGCUGCAGUCGAGGAUCAUUCACAAUGCGCGAAAGCGUGAUGAUGCGACGCCGCGUGGAGGAUGACGGCCUUCGGGUUGUAAACUCCUGUCAUCUGGGAACAACGACGGGACGCCGAAUAAGCGUUCCGAGUGAUAGUACCAGAAGAGGAAGUCACGGCUAACUCUGUGCCAGCAGCCGCGGUAACACAGAGGUGGCUAGCGUUGUUCGGAUUCACUGGGCGUAAAGGGUGCGUAGGUGGUUUUGUAUGUCGGAUGUGAAAUCUCACCGCUCAACGGUGAAACUGCAUUCGAAACUGCGGAACUCGAGUACCGGAGGGGAGAGCGGAAUUGUUGGUGUAGCGGUGAAAUGCGUAGAUAUCAACAAGAACACCGGUGGCGAGGGCGGCUCUCUGGACGGAUACUGACACUGAGGCACGAAAGCUGGGGGAGCGAACAGGAUUAGAUACCCUGGUAGUCCCAGCCGUAAACGGUGUGCACUAGGUGUGGGGGGAGUUGAUCCUCUCCGUGCUGAAGCUAACGCGUUAAGUGCACCGCCUGGGGAGUACGGCCGCAAGGCUAAAACUCAAAGAAAUUGACGGGGGCCCGCACAAGCGGAGGAGCAUGUGGCUUAAUUCGAUGCAACGCGAAGAACCUUACCUGGGCUAGACAUGCAACUGCAGUCCCGGUGAAAGUCGGGAUGCCUUCGAGGGUGUUGCACAGGUGCUGCAUGGCUGUCGUCAGUUCGUGCCGUGAGGUGUUGGGUUAAGUCCCGCAACGAACGCAACCCCUGUGUUUAGUUGCCACCACCGGUGAUGAGCCGGUGAGCACUCUAGACAGACUGCCCGUGACAAGCGGGAGGAAGGUGGGGAUGACGUCAAGUCCGUAUGGCCUUUAUGCCUAGGGCUGCACACGUGCUACAAUGGCCGGUACAAAAGGACGCAAAGCCGCGAGGUGGAGCAAAUCCCCAGAACCGGCCCCAGUUCGGAUCGAAGUCUGCAAUUCGACUUCGUGAAGUAGGAUUCGCUAGUAACGGCGCAUCAGCUACGGCGCCGUGAAUACGUUCCCGGGCCUUGUACACACCGCCCGUCACAUCACGAAAGCCGUCUGGACCCGAAGUCGUUGAUCCAACCCUUCCCGGGAGGAAGGCGCCGAAGGUCUGGAUGGUAAUUGGGAUGAAGUCGUAACAAGGU